GACGAACGCUGGCGGCGUGCUUAACACAUGCAAGUCGAACGGAAAGGCCCUGCUUUUGUGGGGUGCUCGAGUGGCGAACGGGUGAGUAACACGUGAGUAACCUGCCCUUGACUUUGGGAUAACUUCAGGAAACUGGGGCUAAUACCGGAUAGGAGCUCCUGCUGCAUGGUGGGGGUUGGAAAGUUUCGGCGGUUGGGGAUGGACUCGCGGCUUAUCAGCUUGUUGGUGGGGUAGUGGCUUACCAAGGCUUUGACGGGUAGCCGGCCUGAGAGGGUGACCGGCCACAUGGGGACUGAGAUACGGCGCAGAAGCCUACGGGAGGCAGCAGUGGAGAAUAUUGCACAAUGGGCGGAAGCCUGAGGCAGAAACGCCGCGUGCGGGAUGACGGCCUUCGGGUUGUAAACCGCUUUCGCCUGUGACGAAGCGUGAGUGACGGUAAUGGGUAAAGAAGCACCGGCUAACUACGUG
rnacentral:rRNA from 1 species